UUUCCCACUCUCCUUCUCCCAACCAGUACUCCCUCCCAACGUCCCCUGCCCGUCGGACGUCGGUCCGCGGCCACCCCGGCCGGCCCCGCGCGCUGCGUCCCCUGCACGUCGGCUCCCGGUCCGCCGCCGCCCUGGCCGGCCCCGCGCCGUCCCCCGCCGCCCAGCUUGGCCUCCGUUGCCGCAACCGCCAGACUUCUUCUGCUUCCCCGCGGACAAAUGUGGGCGUGAGCAGAGCAGGCCCCCGCUGGUCUUCUUCUGCUGCCCCAAGAACGCGGGAGCGCCCCCUGCCGCCGCUGCCCACUGCCCGCGGUCAGCCUCUGCUGCCACACGGAAGGACGUCAGCGCGGUGCGGCGGCGCUGCCCUCCUCUGCUGCCCAACGCUGCCCAACGGAUGGCCACGACCUUAUCUGACUAUGGAGAAACCAUCAUAUUUUCAGGUUUACUUCAUCGCUUGAGAGUUUGUACUUUGUGGUCGGUGGUGGAAAAGUGGAGCAAGAGGUCUCUCUCAAGUUGUGGGAGAACGAGUCUGCAGAGACGACGUUGAAUUUUAUCAAGGCGGCUUCAUUUUGUUAUGAACUAUCCAAGAGAGACAAGGUUGCUUCAUUUGCAAGCUCAAAACUCUUUAUGAUUGUAUUCUGCUUCUCUACCCAGUUCACUGAAAAUAUGAACCAAUGCAAUUGGUUGUUGGUGUUUGAUCCCAUUAGUAGUAUGAUCAAAUUUGUUUCGAGACAUGCAGUCCCCAAAUGCUCCACUCCCCACAAUCUGACGAAUGGGAGAGGGAAGCUGAGGCUAUGGUCGUGCCGUUGUAGACAAACAGUUUAACACUGAGGUAAUGUGAUAAAAAUAAUCGUUUUUUCUCUCUCGUACGUUUCGGUUUAUGUAUGUCUGCUACGUACAAUUCAUGUACUCCCUCUGUCCCAAAAUAAGUGACUCAACUUUAUACUAGCUUUACUAUAAAGUUAGUACAAAAUUCAGUCAUUUAUUUUGGGACGGAGGGAGUACUAUUCUGUCCUUGCACUGCUUUCUUCUACUCCCUCCAUAAACUAAUAUAAGAGCAUUUAGAUCACUAAUUUAGUAAUCUAAACGCUCUUAUAUUAGUAUACAGACGGAGUUAUAUUUUUGUUGUAUAUUACUAUGUUCAGUUGGUGUGAAAUCCCCCAAUUUUUGGUUAAUCUAGGAAGUAAAAAUAAGUUCAGUUUGUAGACUGUUUAAACCACUUUUAACUGAACUUGUACAAGCAUCAAAUCUAGGAUAUUUCAAGUCUCUUCACAAAAAACAUAUUACAUAGCAAUAAUUUCAUCUUAUUGUUGUACUAAUCCGAUUAUGAGGUGUAUUCGUGGUGCCUUGAAGUGUAAAAAUCGCAGUACUUUUCCUUCCUCUUUUUUUGUAUUAUUUUAGCUCAAGCUUACACUUGCUGACUGGACACUAAAUAACAUUCUUCUGUUUUUUUGUUGCAACGAGAGAAUAAUAAUGAGAUGCGCUGCCACAGGGAGAACUUGGACCAAUUGAUAAGACACCAAAUCUUGGGCACUAAAUUAUGUAUUAGCAUCCUUGUACAACAGCAAAUCAACUAGGAGCCUCUCCUGAGAAGCAAAGAUGUAGAUUGUCCACCUCGAAGGCUAUAGUUGCUAAAGAAGCUACAGGAGAUUUAGAAUAUUUUAUCUCACAACUUUCACUUCAUCAGCCCAAUAAUGAAAGCAGAAGUAUGCAUUAAAUAUACAAAGGUCUCCACAAGGUUUGCAUAAGACGGUAAUGUCCCAUCUUUAAAUCCUCCGACAUUGUGCUAGAAACUAAUUUUAUUACUGACUGGACAUAUAUGCCAUGCAUGUUUAGUACCUUGACUCUUUAUAUAGACAAAGCUCUGAGGGAUGAAGCGUUUUGGGAGCCCAGAUGAAGAAUGCUUCUGAGGCGGAGAAAGAGAAGUGAUGAGAAUACUUCCAAACCGCUCUGAAUUUUUAUUUUGGCAAACUCGGACUCCUUGUUUGAUGAAAUACAUCUGAAGAGCAUUUUUGCGCAUUGUUCAAAUAAACUCUUCAUUUUUGUGUCUCUGUCAAACAAUGCAUUUCAAAUAAUUAGGUUAUUGUCCUGGGGAUAUUUCGAUAAAUGUUGUACUUAUCAUCCUAGAUACUCCCUAUUCAUUACCUAUAUCACAUUCCCAUUUUAUUUCUUUGGGGAAUAGCACAUAUUGUAUUUCCAUUUUUAGUUUCUUUAGUUGUUUGAAUUAAAAAAAGGUGUAGACAAACAAAAGCUAUAGAAAAGGAUACAAAUUAAAUAGAGGUGGAAUUUGAAAAAUGGAUUGAAUUGGCAGGACGUGCUUACUAGUGAAAAGAAAAGCAAAACAAAAACUGUUAAGAUUGCUCACUGUUUGCUCUCGCCAAGAAACUGUAGAAGGGAAAAGGAGGUGACGAUAAUUUGCAGGGAAAUGGCUUGGCUCAAUUUCUUUGCCGCUCUA